rnacentral:lncRNA from 1 species
GGACCCAGGCUGGACGCAGAGUCCCGCUCUGGCAGGAGCGCAGCGCACCGCGGGACUUGUCCGUAACCGGCUCCGUCCCACCCCGCCAUCCGCGCCGCCGGCAAGAGGCCAGCGAGGUCAGGACCCUCCCCUACCUUGGAAGGAGAAGAGGGACAAGAAGAAGCCCAGCACCCAGACGCUGUGCAGCCAGAAUUACUCCUCAUUGAAAACAUCCUUGUUUCUUCCAGAAGAAUCAACCAGGUCCAUAGGUUCAUCCUUUUAGAAGUAUUUCACCAGUUCAGUUGGUCAUCAAUUUCAGUUGUUCAUCAGUGAGAAUGUGGGUAAGCUGUCUUUGUUUUUCAGCUUUAGUGCCACCAUUUUUAUAAUAGAUUACACAUCUGUUGUGCACAAUGCCUUCCAAAAUACUUUAAUUAUCAAUUUGAAUCUCCUGACACAAUUAUGAUAUAUUUAAG